rnacentral:rRNA from 1 species
UGCCAGACUCCUACGGGAGGCAGCAGUGGGGGAUAUUGCACAAUGGGGGAAACCCUGAUGCAGCGACGCCGCGUGAGUGAAGAAGUAAUUCGUUAUGUAAAGCUCUAUCAGCAGGGAAGAAAAUGACGGUACCUGAGUAAGAAGCCCCGGCUAACUACGUGCCAGCAGCCGCGGUAAUACGUAGGGGGCAAGCGUUAUCCGGAUUUACUGGGUGUAAAGGGAGCGUAGAUGGCAGUGCAAGUCCGGAGUGAAAGCCCGGGGCUCAACCCUGGGACUGCUCUGGAAACUGUAAAGCUGGAGUGCGGGAGGGGCAGGCGGAAUUCCUGGUGUAGCGGUGAAAUGCGUAGAUAUCAGGAGGAACACCGGCGGCGAAGGCGGCCUGCUGGACCGUAACUGACGUUGAGGCUCGAAAGCGUGGGGAGCAAACAGGAUUAGAUACCCCAGUA